rnacentral:lncRNA from 1 species
UCACCACGGAGGCCAUCAUGGAGGGCAUCACGGUCAUCAUGGUUGAUUCAGCAGCGACUUCCGUUUGCCAGCAUGACAAAUAAAACUUUUCUGAAGAUUU